AGCUUUUGUAGUUGAAUCACAACACCAGCCUUUCAGACUGAUAGUCCAAGUUAAACCCUCGGCAAAGGUU
rnacentral:tRNA from 1 species